rnacentral:rRNA from 1 species
UAGGGAAUCUUCCACAAUGGACGCAAGUCUGAUGGAGCAACGCCGCGUGAGUGAAGAAGGUUUUCGGAUCGUAAAGCUCUGUUGUUGGUGAAGAAGGAUAGAGGCAGUAACUGGUCUUUAUUUGACGGUAAUCAAUCAGAAAGUCACGGCUAACUACGUGCCAGCAGCCGCGGUAAUACGUAGGUGGCAAGCGUUGUCCGGAUUUAUUGGGCGUAAAGCGAGCGCAGGCGGAAUGAUAAGUCUGAUGUGAAAGCCCACGGCUCAACCGUGGAACUGCAUCGGAAACUGUCAUUCUUGAGUGCAGAAGAGGCGAGUGGAAUUCCAUGUGUAGCGGUGGAAUGCGUAGAUAUAUGGAAGAACACCAGUGGCGAAGGCGGCUCUCUGGUCUGCAACUGACGCUGAGGCUCGAAAGCAUGGGUAGCGAACAGG